rnacentral:hammerhead_ribozyme from 1 species
AUCCAACUGACGAGUUCCGAAUAGGACGGAACGUGUGUCAAACUGGAU